GGAGGAUGGUGAAGACUUACCUGAAUCGUUGAUCGUUGAAUGAGUUGACCGAGAAUACCAGAGGUGAGGAUCCAGUGCUCGGGUGCGAAAUAAACGCAGGAACACGUCGAGUUCUUCAGAGGUUGAAGCUUUGGAAUUGUUGCUCAAAGAUUGAAGGUUGCUUGCGAUUCGUUUUGCUGAGAGAGAAAGAGUUGCAGAAGUGGUGAAGGUUGGGAUGAAGAUGAUGAGAGUGAAGCGAUGGUGUAUGUACAAUGGUGGAGAUGAUGAAGAUGUGAAGUUUGAGAAAUGGUGAAUCGUUUUUCUGCGAGGCUUUUUCUGAGUUUUUGUGUACCAAUUGCAGAGAAACAAGAUGAAGUGAAGGAGAAGAUGCAGAUUGAAGAACAAAGAGAGGUUCAGAGGAGUUUGAAGGUGAUGAAGAUGAGUUCAGAGAGAGAAGGUUGAAGAUUGAGAGAGAGUAAAGAACUGAGAGUGAAGAUUGGUGAUGAUUGAAGAGUGAAGGUGGAGGAGAAUGGUGGAGAGUGAAGAAUGAGAGAAUGGAGAGGAGGUUCUGAAUGAUGAUGUUUCUGAUUUAUAGAAGCUGAAGGUUGGUGGAUUGGUGAGAGAGGAUUGGAGACUGAAGAGAAGGAUCGGCAAGAGAUAACAACUGAUACAGUAGAAGCUUCAAUCACAGGAAGCAAGCCAGUAUGGGAGCUAGCUACAGGAGAUGAAACGAAGAAAUCCGCCAUUGCAACUGAACCAUUGGCCCCUUUCAUACAGUAAACAUCAUGUUCCAUGAAUUUCUCAGAUAAUACGAUGCCAAGUUCACCUUCAGCUCCAUAUGCAUCACUUAGUAAUACAAUGGACUGUAUCUCGGGUUCAAGUUCGUCAAGACUGCCAGCUUUCAUUGCAUUUACAUGGGAUCCGAUUUCAUCCUCCAUCAUGUCGAGGAAUUUCCUAAAAUCAAAGCUGUAAUUAAGAUCAUUCUCUUGACAUAAAAGAAUAUCAAACCGGUCUGUA